UACGUAGGGGGCGAGCGUUGUCCGGAUUUAUUGGGCGUAAAGGGCGCGUAGGCGGCCACGCACGUCCGUUGUGAAAUCGCCCGGCUCAACUGGGCGGGGUCAGCGGAUACGGUGUGGCUCGAGCAAGCUAGGGGGCAAUGGAAUUCCCGGUGUAGUGGUGGAAUGCGUAGAUAUCGGGAGGAACACCAGUGGCGAAGGCGGUUGCCUGGAGCUUUGCUGACGCUGAGGCGCGAAAGCGUGGGGAGCGAUCCGG
rnacentral:rRNA from 1 species